UUUUAAUGUGUGGUUAUUUUGAUGAAGAAAUUUCGUUUGCCUAUCUUAAUUUCUUUGGUUUCUGAUGUACAUGAAGUUAUAUGUGAUUUGCUGACCCUGACUCCUCAGAUGGUUGGUCAUCUUUUCUUUUUUCCCCUUAGAAACACAGGUAAACUCCAGCAUUCAGGAUUGCAUACCUGUACACCAUCCAGAAGUUGCCCUUUCCAUUGAUGUUUACCAUAAUGUGCAAAACUGGAUCAAGACCCAAGGAUUCUUGGUCGUUGGACGAAAAACCUUGACUGAGUUGAGGGAUAAGAUAUACUGUUUAACAGAUAAGGUGAUGGAAAAAGAUGGCCAGCAUAAUCAUUCAAGAUGUUUCCUCAUAGAAGUAAGAAGUUGAAUCCAUUUAAUGGUUAGUUUCAAAUGAAGAUGGUCUUUCCACUUAAUCCUAGUAAAUUGCUUAUCCUAUGUAGGAUAGAUUCUACAAAGAUCUGAGGAUUCCUUCUGCAUUAUAUUAUAGUCGAUCUGUAUAUGAUUGGCUUAGAAAUUUAAGAGAUGAUGCUCUAAAAAACUAAAAGUGGAGUGUGUUUUAGCUGGAAAAUUGCAAAAGAAGGAAAAAAGCAGUUGUAUGCAACAUAACUGGCUCAAAAUUGCAUCUGUUCGAAGCUGAUGAUAUGCACAAGACACAGUUUUGCAACUUGAAAUUUCAACCUGCUGAUAUGUCACCAGGGUGACUACAGACACACAGUUGUGAUUAGAGACAUAAGGUUGCUUCAUCCAGAGGAUAUACAGAACAGGGCAGCUUAUCAAUUACUCUUAUUCCAAUUGAAGCUACACGUACAGAAAUAUAAAGUGUGUCGGAUGUAUAGUGCAACAAAGUUGACUGUCAAUGACAAUUGGAUUGCGGAGAAUCCCUGCUACUUCUCCGAUAAUUGCUACUUCCUUGUCAAUGUAAUCUGAAAACCAAAUGU